rnacentral:rRNA from 1 species
AUACGUAGGGAGCGAGCGUUGUCCGGAAUUACUGGGCGUAAAGGGUGCGUAGGUGGCCAGGCAAGUCAGAUGUGAAAUCCCCGGGCUUAACUCGGGAUGUGCAUUUGAAACUGCAUGGCUUGAGUGCAGGAGAGGAAAGCGGAAUUCCUAGUGUAGCGGUGAAAUGCGUAGAUAUUAGGAGGAACACCAGUGGCGAAGGCGGCUUUCUGGACUGUAACUGACACUGAGGCACGAAAGCGUGGGGAGCAAACAGGAUUAGAUACCCUGGUAGUCCACGCUGUAAACGAUGGAUACUAGGUGUGGGGGAGAUACAACCUCCGUGCCGCAGCAAACGCAAUAAGUAUCCCGCCUGGGGAGUACGGCCGCAAGGCUGAA